CUAUUUUAAGGGAAUUAAUUCCCUAAAAUUCCUCAAUUUUUUAUUUUUAUUUUUUUGACUUGUUUACUUCCAAGGCCACAUAUUGAACAACUUCUGCAUUUUUUACCUGUUUUCGACCAGCCAAAACAGUUUUCGAUAUGU